rnacentral:rRNA from 1 species
GGCAGACGGGUGAGUAACGCGUGGGAAGCUACCUUGUGGUAGGGGACAAGAGUUGGAAACGACUGCUAAUACCCUAUGAGCCCUAUGGGGGAAAGAUUUAUCGCCAUGAGAUGUGCCCGCGUUAGAUUAGCUAGUUGGUAAGGUAAUGGCUUACCAAGGCGACGAUCUAUAGCUGGUCUGAGAGGAUGAUCAGCCACACUGGGACUGAGACACGGCCCAGACUCCUACGGGAGGCAGCAGUGGGGAAUAUUGGACAAUGGGGGCAACCCUGAUCCAGCCAUGCCGCGUGUGUGAUGACGGCCUUAGGGUUGUAAAGCACUUUCAGCAGUGAAGAUAAUGACAUUAACUGCAGAAGAAGCCCCGGCUAACUUCGUGCCAGCAGCCGCGGUAAUACGAAGGGGGCUAGCGUUGUUCGGAAUCACUGGGCGUAAAGAGUACGUAGGCGGACUGAUAAGUUAGGGGUGAAAUCCCAAGGCUCAACCUUG